rnacentral:rRNA from 1 species
UACGGAGGGUGCGAGCGUUAAUCGGAAUUACUGGGCGUAAAGCGCACGUAGGCGGUUUGUUAAGUCGGAUGUGAAAUCCCUGGGCUCAACCUGGGUGCUGCAUUCGAUACUGGCAGGCUUGAAUACGGUAGAGGGGGGUGGAAUUCCAGGUGUAGCGGUGAAAUGCGUAGAGAUCUGGAGGAACACCAGUGGCGAAGGCGGCCCCCUGGACCGAUAUUGACGCUGAGGUGCGAAAGCGUGGGGAG